GCGGUUAGUUGAGUGGUUAAGGCGCUUGUCUUUAUUUAAACAAGUGUUAGGUUCGAGUUCUAAUCGGCA